CUUACAAAUACAUAUGAUACAUAUGAGUUCCAAUACAUACAUAUACUGAGACCAGAAGUGGUUGCAAAUUACAAAACAAAACAUAAGGGCCACUUCUUUCACUAUACUAUUGGACUCAUCAGAGUGCGAGAAUAGUCAUACACUCAGACUUGUUGAUCUAUGGGAUCUUCUUCAUAGACUUCCAAGGGUAGGUUAGCUUGUGGUUUCUCACUUUUUUCCUCAUCUGGGGGGGACAUGGAAAGAGAGAGUUCCAUAUGCUCAGUAAGAAAAAUAGUAUUAAUUUAACAUUAUAAGAUUUCAAAAGUUAAUUAUUUAUCUUACCAUUUUACUUCCUCAUUUACCUAUCUCACAUUAUUAAAAACUAUUUAUUUAUUAAGAAAAUGAUAUGUUAAUACCAAAAAUAAACAUACAUCAUGCCAGAUAAUAAAUAAAUCAUGAAAUGCUCAGAUUUUUGUGUCAUAUUUCGUGAAAUCGUUACAACAUCCAUCUUUGAGGGCAAAUACAGAUUUCCAACUACCCAAGUGAAAUGACCAGAUCAGAUACAGAUAUGAUAAUUUUUUUAGGCCCAUUUUCGGCUGGCCAAGCCAUGGUACGAUCUAUGACCACAGUCGUAGCAGUCAUAGUGGCCCUAACAGAUAUCUAUAGUCACGACAUUACUUAGCCAAGAGUGACCCCUAUAGAUAGUAUGAUACCACUCUCGUCAGAGGGUAUACUGUCAUCCAUUUGGAGCGGUCCUCUUACAUCUUUCUAGACUAGAUAUAUCAAUACAGAUAAACUUUGAACCAUACAGGCUUCAUUCUAUUUUUUUUCUUCUUCUUUUCUUUUUACUUUUACUAUUAUGGAUUACAUAUUAUAUUUAUUACAUGCAAAUUAAUCAUGUGUCUGUAAUUCACAUAACUUGCUUGAAAACCAUAAUAAUUCGACUCAUUUGAACACAGAGGCAUACAAAACAGGCAAAAUAUCAAUUAGAUUAAAUUUAGUUAUCUAAAUAUACUCCUUAAGACGUCGAAAGUAAUACUAGAUUCCUUACCGAAACCUUGAUGUUUUGUUCUUUAGCAUUUUUCCUUUCUUUCUCUUCUUCUCUCACUAAGUUAUUAGCUCUCUCUCUCUAAACUUUUGAAAAAUAGAAGAAAUUGAAGUGUGGAGAGGAAGGAAAGGGGAAGGGAAAUUUAUAGAAUUCAAGACCGUUGGAUUCGCACCAAGUGGUGAAAUCUGAUAAAAAGAGAGGAGAAAAAGAUUUUUGGCAUAAAAAAUGAGGGAGAAAGACUUCCUCUAUUGGCGGCGGCGGUGCAUCACCCAAGGCAGCGAUGGCGCACAACCCGAGGUGGCAAUGCUCAGCUGGUACGCUACAGGCUAGGCUGCAGGAGCACAAGCCUGCUACCGUGCGUGUAAGGCCAAGGCACAUUGGGCGCCGUGCACGCAACCCUAUUGCGCACAGGCCCUAGGUGCAUAGGGCCUGUCCAUGCAGGCCUGUUGUACGGAUGGUGCGCGCAUAGUGUGCGACGCCAAUCUGUGCACGAAGUGAACGGCCUGCCUGCAUGCAACAGGACGCGCGCGAAGCUCUUGACCCUAUGCCGUGCUCGCAGAUCGAACAUGCGCGUUGUGCGCACAUCCCGUGCGAACUGGUGUGCGAAUAGAACGUGCGCGUUGUGUGCACGCCCUGCAACAACUGUGCACGCACGCAUGCGUGCACAGUGCCCAACACCCGCGCGGGCAAACUACUUUCUCGUGGGAUUUUUUUUUUCGCGAGCAGGUUUUCUCCCGUUUCGCCAUUUUUUCGAUUUUUUUCUAAAUUUUCUUUUUAAUUUAAAAUAAUUUAAAAUACAUAAAAUAGUUUAAAAUAAAGUAAAAUAAAAAUUGAUAAAAUAGAUCAAAAUAAAUCAAAAUCACGAAUCACAAGAAAUAUUAAACGGCAUAAAUUAAUUUAAGUUUAAGGCAGCCAAAGGCCCAAAAAUAGAGUUUUGAAAUAAUUUUAGCACAGUGAUAGCGGGUGUUACAUCCCUCCCACCUAAAAAAAAAUUUGGUCCCCAAAUUUAUCUCGAAUAAGUCUAGAUACUUUUUCUUUAUUUCAUCCUCCAAUUCCCACGUUACUUCUUCCAGGAUGUGAUGCUGCCAAUUUACCUUCACAAUGGGAAUCGUCUUGUUAUGUAAGACCUUAUCAGUCCACCCAAGAAUUUCCACAAGAACCUCCUCAUAGUUCAUAUCUGCAUGCACCUGUACCUCAUCACGAGGAAUAAUAUGAGAAGGAUUAGGGUGGUACCUCUUGAGCAUUAAGACAUGAAAAAUGUCAUGUAAAUCUACAAACUCUCGGGAUAGAGUGAGACAGUAAGCCACCGGUUCAAUGCGCUCGAUGAUCGAAAAAUGUCCCACAUAAUAAGGGCUCAACUUCCCUCUCUUUCCAAACCACAUCUUGCCCUUGUAGGGGUAGAUUUUUAGGAAAACUUGAUCUCCCACAGUAAACUCCAAGGGUCACCUAUAAUUAUCGAUGUAGCACUUUUGGUGGCUUAGGGCAGUUGCUAAAUUCUUGCGGAUAUUGCAACCUUCUCUAGGAUCUCCUAAAUGAAGUAUGGUCCUAAGUGGUGUUGGUUCCUGACUUCACUCUAGCAAGUAGGGGAACAACCAAGCCUUCUAUACAAAGCUUCAUAUAGGGCCAUACUGAUGCUGGAAUUGUAACUGUUAUUAUAAGCGAAUUCACAAAGAGGAAGAUUCUCAUACCAGUUAUCGCCAAAGUCGAGAACCCAAGAACGCAACAUGUCUUCCAAUGUCUGAAUAGUACACUCAAACUGACCAUCCGUUUAGGGAUGAUAAGCGAUGCUGAAGUACAACCCAAAUCCUAAAGCUUUUUGAAAGUUGUCCCAAAAGUGAGAAGUGAACUGAGACUCGCGAUCGGAUACAAUGGAUGAGGGGACUCUAUGAAGUUGAACAAUCUCAUCAACAUAUAGACGGGCUAACUUACUAGUGUAGUCCGUGAUUUGAAUAGGUAGGAAAUGAGGAGUCUUGGUCAACCUAUCCACAAUGACCCAAAUAGCAAUUCAACCAAAACAGGUCCUAGGCAAUCUGGUGACAAAAUCUGUAGUCACAUGCUCCCUUUUUCAUUCGAGAAUCGGAAGAUCCUGUAGCAAGCCACUGGGUCUCUAAUGUUCUGCCUUAUCCACUGACCAUUAAUGCAUUGGGAGACGUAGUCAACUAUAUCCUUUUUCAUUCCUGGCCACCAAUAUUGUCCUGGUACAUUUUGAUACUUUAAGGAUGAUUGGAUAACUUGGAAGUAAUGGACGGCCUUGAGUACACUUGAAUAUAUAGCUUUGGGGACUAAAAUUUGGUUCUGAAAUUUGAACAAUCCAUUAUCAGAGAUCUUAAAAUCAGGAGAUUCAUCCGAAGUGAAAUUACCCAGGUUCUUAAUGAGUUCCAAGUCCGUGGCCUGUGCUUCCCAGAUCUUCAUAAAGAGAUCCGAUAAGACUCGGAUCUGGGCGAGGUAGGUGCAUUUUCCAUAAUAGCUAAGGCGGAGUGAUUAUACAGUGUCCUUCAUCUUCCAACUGAAGGCCAUGGUUUGAGCCGACACAGCAGGCUCCCUUCGAUUUAUAGCAUCAGCGACUACAUUUGUAAUAUCCACCUGAGAAAAAAAUAUAUAAAUAAAAUAAAAUAAAUAAAAUUAGAGUUUGGAUGUAAAUGAAAGAAAAUUUUAGAAUUGGGGCUUUUAAUUAAUUUCAGGGGCCUAAGUGAAAGUGGGUAAGAAAAAGGAGGGCAAAAACAUAAAUAAAAAAAAAGUGGAAGGGGGCAAAGGAAAUCAAGAGAAUGGAUAGCCCAGAUCGGACCGCUUGAGGAGAUCGAAUGGAGGAGAUUUAAAAAAAACAGACGGCCCGAAUCGAGUCAUGAAGAUCCAACAGUUAAGGGAACGAGUAUAAAAGGGGAAGAGAUUAGGUUUUUUAUUCAUUUUGAGAGGAGAAGCUGAAAAAAGGAAGGGAGAAUGAGAGAGAGAGGUGAUCAGAGAGAGGAGGAAGAAGACGGUCGUGCAUGGAAACUAAGAGAGAAGAAAGAAUAAAAAGGAAAGAAGAAGAGAGGGUCAUGCAGGAAGCCGAGAGAGAAAGAAGGAGAGGAUAGGAAGAGGGAGGCUGGAAAGAGGAAGGGAAAGGAGAGAAAAAGGGGGAAAGAUAACAAAAGAGAGGAAUGGCCAAGUGGGAAAGAGUAGGGGACCCAAGGAGCAACCACUGUAAGGGAGGAAGAAAAGAAGAGAGGGACAGAGACGGGAGAGGGUGGAAACUAAACUGAAAGAAAUAAAGAGGAAGAAGGAAUGACCCAAGACGUCGUGUGACGGUGGAGACUGAGGCAAACAAGGUAAAGGUUCGUCCUUUUCAUCUUUUCUUCUCUUAUUUUCCUUUCAAUCUAUUUUUAUUUUACAAUGAACCGAUUUUUAGGCAUAAAAAUCAUCAUUCCAAUUGCAAGAACGCAAGGGAGCCGCAAGGUGACCGAGAGGAUCCAACUGGGGGACAAGCAAAGGCCAAAUCGCCCACAUCAAAAGGUAAAACGAUUUUUUUUUCAUGUUUUGGGGGUGGUUGAGCGGCAGUGGGGUGGGGUUGGUGUCGGGCUACCCGCGCGGGCUCGACUGGGCCACCCACACACGUAGGAACCGAGGAGGCUUCCUCGGGAAAGGGGAAAGUUGACCCAUUUAGGAAGCUGAAGGGUCUUCUUCGAGCAUGGGAACCUAGUCCACCAUUUUGGAAUUUCGAUUCGCUAUUCGGGAAGAUGAAAAGUCUUUAUAGGGAAACAAGAAUCUGAUUUGUCGUCCAAGAAAUUGAAAAGUCUUUCUUGAAAAAUGGGGAUCCAAUUCGUCGAAGGGAGAGCCGAAAGGUUUCUCAUAUAUGGAUUCUUAUAAUUUUGGGUGUUCCGUUAGGUGGUUGUUGAAACCUGUAAUUUGAUUAAAUUAAUUUUUAGUAUUUCAAAGUAUUUUAAUUAAUUAUAUCAUGUGUACAGAAAAAUUUGGACAUUUAAGCUGAUCUGGGAAGACGCGAAGGAGUGUAAGUAUUUCUAAAUCUCAACCGGGUUUAAAUUUAAAUGAAUAUUGGCCCAAUUUCAAUAAAAAAUAGAACCCAAAUUAUGAUUAGUAAACCUAAGCAAUUGGAACCCUACGAGGAGAUAAAACCAUAAAACAGACCCAAUGGACUGAGAGUUAUUUAGACUAAUGAAAUAUAAAAUUGAAAAGGAAAAUUCUCAAUUAAGAAAAAAAUUGAAAAAAAAAGAAAUAAAAUAAAAAUGUAAAAAUAGAAAGGAGAAGAAAUAAUUGAGGUUAAAAAAUGAUCAUUUAAACAAAUUAAGAAAUUUGGAAUGAGAGGGUAGGAAUAAAUAGGGUAGGGACCCUAAAUACCUUCUCGUUUAGUUUGAAUCGAGGAGGGGAGUGUGUGUGUGUGGCUGAAGUUCAGUGGGCAUGGUGACACAUGGAUAAAGUUUGAAACCUAAUCCAGACAUGGAUAAGCAUUCGUGUGAGUGUGGGUCACCUAGCAAACGUACUUGUUAUGGCCAUUGUGUGAUUUAUUUGUAUGCUAUCCAUGCGAUGGGAGUAUCCAUUUCACCUUUUCUCAAUGAUGACAUAAAUGGCAUUGCGCGAUGAAACUANNNNNNNNNNNNNNNNNNNNNNNNNNNNNNNNNNNNNNNNNNNNNNNNNNNNNNNNNNNNNNNNNNNNNNNNNNNNNNNNNNNNNNNNNNNNNNNNNNNNNNNNNNNNNNNNNNNNNNNNNNNNNNNNNNNNNNNNNNNNNNNNNNNNNNNNNNNNNNNNNNNNNNNNNNNNNNNNNNNNNNNNNNNNNNNNNNNNNNNNNNNNNNNNNNNNNNNNNNNNNNNNNNNNNNNNNNNNNNNNNNNNNNNNNNNNNNNNNNNNNNNNNNNNNNNNNNNNNNNNNNNNNNNNNNNGGGAAUACUUAUUGAGUGGUAAAACUCCAUUAACUUUCCACCCUAAUAUUUUUAGAGGAAAAUAAAUAGCCAGCACCGCUGCUAGACGAGUAGAACCUGUAAAAAUAGUUCUUUUUUUGUAUAUUUUAUACAUAUUUAAAAAUUUUUAUUUUGUUCUUUUAGACUCUAAAUUCCGACCUCAUGUUAUAUAUAUAUAGUUACUGUACAUAUCACAUGGGAUGCAAGAUUUUAUUAUCUAUUUUUAUCUACGCAUGUAUAUAAUUUAUGGGCCCACUAUCUGAAAUGGCAUGAGCAGGAAUUGUGCCUCAUAUUGAGUAUCGGGGCAUGACAACAUUCCCUCUUCCAAGGUGACAAAUGAUCUGACAAUCAUAAUCCUUCAGAAAAUCCAUCAAGUGUCUUUGCCUCAUGUUUAACUCCCAUUUAGAAAAGAUGUACUUGAGACUCUUAUGGUCAAUAUAAAUUUAAAAAGUUUGACCAUACAGAUAAUGCUACUAUAUCUUCAGGGCAAAGAUAAUGUCUGCUAGCUUCAGGUCGUGGGUAGGGUAAUUUUGCUCAUGAACUUUGAGCUAUCAGGAUCCAAAGGCGACUACUCUACCAUGAUGCAUCAAGACACACCUCAAACCAAUAUGAGAUGCAUCACAGUAGACUUGGAAUCUCUCCUCAUUGUUAGGGAGGAUUAAAAUAAAGGCAAAGGCGAGACGAUGUUUUAAUUCCAUGAAACUUUCACUGCACACAUAAUUCCAAAUAAAGUGUACUUCCUUUCUGGUGUUGAGUCAUAGGGGCAGCAAUCUUGGCGAAUCCAUCAAUAAAUUCUCGGUAGUAGCCUGUUAAGCCAAGAAAACUGUGUACCUCGGCCACAUUAGUGGACGGACUCCAAUUGAUUACCGAUUCUACCUUGGAUGGGUCUACAGAAACCCUUCACUUGAGAUUACAUAAUCGAAAAAAGAAACUCGAUCUAACCAAAAGGAGUACUUGCUUAGUUUUGCAUACAGUUGGUUUUGGCAGAGAAUCUCCAACACUUCGGCCAAAUCCACAAUGUGGUCCCCAUGGCUGUUGGAAUACACCAGCAUAUAAUCAAUAAAGACGAUGAUGUACCGAUUGAGUGCAUGUCGAAAAACUCAGUUCAUUAGUUCCAUGACAGUUGCUGGGGCAUUGGUCAAUCUGAACAACAUCACUUUGAACUCGUACAAUCCAUAUCUACACUGAAAAGCAGUUUUUAGAAUAUCUUCUUCUUUAACUCUCAGCUGGUGGUACCCAAUUUUGAGAUUGAUCUUAGAGAAGACCAUGGCUUCUUACAGUUGAUCGAAGAGAUCAUCGAUUUGAGAUAAGGGGUACUUGCUUUUAACAGUCACUCGAUUGAUUUUUCUAUAGUCCACACAGAGUCGGAGGGUAUCAUCCUUCUUCUUUACGAACAAUGCUGGAGUGCCCCAAGGAGAAUGGCUAGGGUGAAUGAAUUUGCGAGUGAUAAGAUCAAUGCAACUCAUGCGAUAUGCGGGCUUCGAGAUCGGUUGGGUUCCAGGCAAUAAUUCAAUUAGGAACUCUACCUCACGUGAGGGAGGUAGACUAGGAAGUUCGAUAGGAAAGACAUCAGGAAAAUUGCAAACAAUUGGUAUGGAACACACAGCAAGAUCAGCGUCCAUAUUCCUGUUCAUUCAAUUAUUAGUUAAAGGAUAAUAAUAACUUUAUUUCUUUUUUGGGGAUCGUAAAGUUAUAAUUUUAUUUUCACAGUCUAUUAUAGCUCUACACUUUUUCCACUAAUCCAUUCCUAACAUUACAUCAAAUCAUACAAAAUCUAAUAGUAUUAGAUUUACACAUACCUCUAUUCCUGAAGUUUUUAUCCUACAAUUCUUAUAUACGCAAUGAGUCUCUAGUAGUCCUUUAGAGGGAGUUUCUACUACUAGCAUUUUUCUUAAAACUUCUGGUCUAAAUUUUAAGUUACAAGCAAAUGCAUAGGAAAUAAAAAAGUGAGUUGCACCAGUAUCGAUCAAUGUUUUGGCAAAAGUAUUAUGAAUAGAAAGCGUACCCUGGAUGAGAAUAGGAGUAGGGAGGACAUUAGAUUCAUCUAAGUGGUAUACUCUACCUUAUGCUAUGGGUCGGGCUACAUCCUUCAGUCAUUGAGGGCAGUCUCUUAUAAGGUGUUAGAUGCUUCCGCACCGAUAGCAUGCAUUAUUGAUUCACCAACAAGGCAGGUCACCAUGUGAGCGACAACAAUGUUGACAAGGUUGGUUAGCUCGGGUAGGUGGAGCUGUAGGUGGGGGCAUGGCAGGAAGAAGGACAAUUCUGGGUCAUUUAUCUGGAGGGCUACUUAUUGGGUCAAGCAAUCUUUUUCUAAGCUAUUGGGGUUAUUGUUGGGUAGGAACUCGGGCAAAGCGUUAGUGUUUAGCCGAGAUAAGAUCUUCGGCCAACUAGGCAUAUUCAAGCACCUUUGUAUAUGAGCUAGGUCUCAGCGUCUCGAUCCGGUCAUAGAUGUCGACACGAAGGUCUUUGAGAAACUUCCUAACUUUUCAGCUUUCAGGGGUGACAAUCAAAGGGGCAGACUUAGACAGUUGAACAAAUUGAGCUGCAUAUUGGGCUACAAAAAAGCUUCAUUGACAAAGGACCUAAAAUUCCUCCUCUUUCUUUUUUUGUAUAUAAACAGGGAAGAAGUUAUCAAAGAAAGCGUCCAUGAAAUCUUCUCAAGUAAUAGCGGUAGGCAGGACUUCUUUCUUAAGUUGCCACUAGUGUUCGGCUUCACAAUUUAACAUGAAAGCUACAAAAAGGACUUUUUGUUCUUUGGUCAAGUCUAGUACAGAGAAAAACUUUUCUAUUUAUAGGAUCCAGGCUUCAAUUACUAAAGGAUCGGGGCCACCUUCAAAGUGUGGGGGAUUAAGUUUUCUAAACUCCACUAUAUUGUGGGAGAUAGACCGAUCUGUGUUUCAGAAUUCAGGGAUAGGGGGUGGAUAAGGGUUUGCCUGGUUUUGUUCUACAGCUGUAGUUAAUCCUUGAAUGGCUUGAAAAAAUUCUGUAAAUUCAGCCUUGGUCGGAUGAUCAAGGGCUUUAGGUCGUUCAGUAUGCUCUACAAAUAGUCUUCUCCGCUCAUUCCUAUGAGAGAAAGAAAGACACGAGUUAGGGGUUUAAUCUUUGAAAAUAGGACAUUUUUCUUCCUUGGGUACUCUAAAAGAUUUAUCUAUCCUAGGCCUCAGUGCAAGGGAUUUGUUCCGUGAAAUUUUGCUCUGAUACCACCUGUGACAUCCCAGGUUCCAAUUAAGGCAAAUGGGUGUUAGAUACAGAUUCAGAAUAACGAGUGCAUGAUAAAAUUUAUGCAGCGGAAUCAAACCUUAACAAAUUCUUUACAAAUGUAUAUAUAUAACGUUCCAAAUACAUACAUCACUGAGGCUAGAAGUAGCUAUAAAAUAUAAAACAUAAGGGCCACUUCUUUCAGUAUGCUACUAAAAUUCGUCAGAGUGCAGAACAGUCAUGCACUCAGAUUUAUGGAUCCACGGGAUCCUCAUAGACUUCUAAAGGUACCUGCGAUUCCUUAUUUUCUUCCUCAUUUGGGGGGGGGGAGGGAUGGAAAGAGUGAUUUCUAUAUACUUGGUAGAGAAAAUAAUAUUAAAUUAACAUCGUAAGAUUUCAAAAUUUAUUAUUUUAUCUUACCGUUUAGCUUUCUCAUUUACCUAACUCAUCAUUAUGAAAAUAUUGAAUAUGAAAAUAGUAUGUUAACAAAGAAAAUCAAAUACAUAUAUAUAUAUAUAUCAUGCCAAAUAAUAGAGGAAAUCAAAUAAAUUAUGAAAUGCAUAAAUUUUUCCUGUCAUUCUUUGCGAAGUCAUUAUAAACUUCCAUCUUUGAUGGUAGAUACAAAUUUCAAACUACCCAAGUGGAAUGAACAUAUCAGAUACAGAUAUGACAAUUUGCUUAGACCCACUUUUGGCUAGCCAAACCAUAGUACGAUCUACGAUUACGGGCGCACCAACCAUAGUGGUCCUAACAUAUAUCUAUAGUCAUAAAAUUACUUAGUCAUGAGUGAUCCCUACAAAUAGUGCGAUACCACUCUCGUCAGAGGGCACAUCAUUAUCCACUGAGAGCGGACCUCCUACGGCUUUCCAGACUAGAUAAGGGAGGGCGGAAACAGAUACCUCGAAGGGUAAGGGGAACAGAUAUCCCUUAGAGAUAAAAAGCCCAAUGAGACAUUUGAUGUAAUAUGCAUAUCAAUACAGAUACACUUCAAACCAUACAGGCUUCAUUUCACUUUUCUCCCUUUUUUUUUUUAAUUUUACUAUUAUAAAUUACAUAUUUUAUUUAUUAAAUGCAAAUUCAUCAAGUGUCUGUAAUUCACAUAGCAUGUUUGAAAACCAGAAUAAUUUGACUCAUUUAAACACAGAGGCAUAUAAAAUAAGCAAAACAACAAUCAUAUUAAAUUUACUUAUCUAAAAAUACUCCUUAAGACAUCGAAAGUAAUACUAGAUUUCUUACUAAAACCUCGAUGAUUUCUUCUUCACCAUUUUUCUUUCUUUCUCUUCUUUUCUCAUUAAUUUACUAUCUCUCUCUCUCUUUCUAUAAACCUAUGAAAAAUGAAACAAAUAGAAGUGUGGAAAUGAAGGGAAGGGGGGCAAUUUAUAGAAUUUUGGAACUAUUGAAUUCACGACAAGUGGCAAAAUUCAGUGAAGAGAGAGAAAAAAUAUUUUUGGCACUAAAAACGAGGGAGGAAGACCUCCUUCAUCGGCAGCACGCCACCCAAGGCAACGGUGUUGCACUGCCCGAGGUGAUAGUGCACGGUCGGCGUGCUGUAGGGUAGCCGAGAGGGGCACAGGGGCACAGGCCUACUAUCGCGCAUAUAGGAGCUAGCCUGCAGCACGGACGGGGCACCCAAGUGUGCGAUGUCAGUCCGUGUGCGAGGUAACGCGCGGUCAGCCCGCUUACGUGUGACAGGAUGCGUGCACUGGUCCUGACCUUGUGUCGAGCGCGCAGACGAGACAUGUGCACUGUGUGCAUGUCCCAUGCAUGCGCGCGUGCGAAGAGGCAUGCAUGUUGUGCACCUGACCCGUGCGUGCUAAUGUGCGGAUGGGACGUGCGCACUGUGUGCAUGCCCCACAGGCAAAUCACCCUAUCGCAGGAUUUUUCCUACUAGCAAUUUUUUCCCGUUUCACUAUUUUUCAAUUUUUUAAAAAAUUUUCCUUUUAAUUUAAAAAAAUAAAAUAAAAUAAUUUAGAAUACAUAAAAUAAAAAAAAAUAAAUCAAAAUAAAUUAAAAUCACGAAUCAUGAGAAAUAUUAAACAGUGUAUAUUAAUUAAGUUUAAAGCGGCCAAAGGUUCAAAUAAAUUAUUUUUCAAAAUUAUUUUAGUACAGUGAUGGGCGGGGUGUUACAUCCUAUGCAGAAAGAUAGAUUUAAAUAAUUAGAAAAUAGUUGUUCUUUUAAGAAAACUGACAUAUAUCUUAAUGCAGAACCCGAGAUCAAUAAUAAAAUCCAAAGCCCUGCAUAUAUAUCAAUAAUCAAAAACCCAAAAUCCUAAGCAAACUCUCCAUACUUGACCCGCACUCAACAGGGAAGUGAAAACUAUGGUAACUGGGAAAGAAAUAAAAAAAUAGAAUUAAAAAGACAUCACGAGACUUACCUCGAUAAGUGAUCCCAAUUCCUCACAUAACAAAUUGGUCGAAGGCCCACUCACUCACU
rnacentral:lncRNA from 1 species